AGUUAUUUAACUAUAUAUUAUACUAUUCAUAGUAAAACAUUAUAUAUACACCUUUACUUUUAAAAUUACUUUCUCAUAUGUCAGAAAAAUUCUGUACUGUAAAUUGCUUUUCAAAAGUCAUAGAGCCAGUGAUAGCCAGUGUGUUUUAAUUCAAACUCUUGAAUUGUUUCUCUAAGUCAUGAUGCAAAUUAAUGAAAGUUAUUUCCUGUUGUAGUUAUUGUAUCACAAAUAAUGGGUUCACCAAUGAAGAACAUGUUCAAAGGUUUCAAGAUGCAGCCUCCCUCUCUAUGCAUCUUCCUCCACUUAAUCUCUAUUCCACCUCUGGGCCAUCACUUUGAAAUACACAGUAUCUGGAAAAGAAGGCCUCAGGAGAAGAUAUGAUUCCUCAACAUAUUUUAUAGGUGAAUCUACAGGAGGAAGAAAUAAAAUUUUUUAAAAGCCCAAGAUUUAAUGAAAAUGGGAACAAAUCAUAGUGGAAUGCAGUUUCAGGUAUGAGCUACAAGCACAUUAAGGAACAUUGAAGUCAAGUGUGCUUUAUAUUCCUAAUGUCUUGAGCACACUGUGAUUUAAAAUAGCUAUUAAAGAUUAUGCAAAAUGUGCAAAAUUAAUGUGCAAUGAUUUUACUUUUGGUGAGUCUCCUUUUUUAUUUUAAUGCCCUCUACCUUCUUGCCUUUAUUUCCCUAUCCUGUCAGUUAGCUUGAGUUCAGAAAUAGAAAGUCAACUUAUUUGACCUUACAAUGGUCAAGUUUAACUUGUUAAUAGGAACUGCAUGGUAUAGUGAAAAGAGACAGAUGCUUUGAAGUCACAAAAAAGAGUUUCAAAUUCUAGCUCUGUCACAUACUGUUUUUCCUUACACAAGUUGUCUCUUUGGUUAUUC
ensembl:lincRNA